UCGACCAGUGAAGGUUGCGUCCUCGAUGUGAGAAUGCCGACUGUCAAUCGAACCUCUGAACGGCCAUCCACGUGGUCGUUUAGUCUACGUGUCACCAGUAAAUAAUAACCCGAAGAUAAUAAAUUAUUAACAAUCCAGUGAAGAACAGAUCAUCAAAAUUAUCACCUGCAAGUCUCUCCACCAGUCUUGAUCUCCUGAAUUACUGAUAAGACUCUGGCUGUGAUUGCGCUCGUUUCUCGCUGUCACGUUCGUCAAUUUUCGACGGUAUCAGAUAAGAAGAGGAAAACCCAGUGAAAAUUCAUGGAAAUCAAUUUGAAAAGUGAGGGAGGAAGUUUCUUCGAUUCAAGUACAGAGUCAAGAGGUGAUGUCUAAAUCUAGAGUGGAUUGGUGACAAAAGUUUAGGCUUUUUUUUCAUUCUGGGAGCGAUGAUAGAUGCUGGGGGAAUAGGUGAAAACUAUCGAUAGGGAUUUUAGAGUGAAUAAAAGGAGAGAUGUCCUGUGAUAAAGCAUCAAAACGCCUGCGGUGCAUCAUCACAAAGGCGAGAAGGUUGGGUUUAACCGAGUGGGAGUUGGCUGAUUUAUCUGGCGUCAAGAGAAUCACGUCGUCAAGCACAAGUCCAAGUACUUGGUCGUUAGUUGCAGUGAUGAUUGGAUUAAUUAUUGGAGGAACUUUGGUACUGGCUACUGUGUGCUAUCCUUGUGGCAGGAGUAUUCAUCAUCCUCGUGGGGCCACUUAAUCUCCAUGGACUACUAAUUGAUGCUCGUGGAUGCAGCAGCAUUCUCCGUCAAUAACUCGAGAAUGAUUUUUAAUAAUAAUGUGUAAUGAUAAUGCAUUUGUUGAGAAUAAUUGAGAAUAAAAAUGAGA